UACGGAGGAUGCAAGCGUUAUCCGGAAUUAUUGGGCGUAAAGCGUCCGCAGGUGGCACUUCAAGUCUGUCGUCAAAGACCGGGGCUUAACCCUGGAAAGGCGAUGGAAACUGAAAGGCUAGAGAGAGGUAGGGGUAGAGGGAAUUCCCAGUGUAGCGGUGAAAUGCGUAGAGAUUGGGAAGAACAUCAGUGGCGAAAGCGCUCUACUGGACCUUAUCUGACAUUGAGGGACGAAAGCUAGGGGAGCGAAUGGG
rnacentral:rRNA from 1 species